rnacentral:rRNA from 1 species
AAUAGAUACCCAGGUAGUCCACGCCGUAAACGAUGAGUGCUAAGUGUUAGAGGGUUUCCGCCCUUUAGUGCUGCAGCUAACGCAUUAAGCACUCCGCCUGGGGAGUACGGCCGCAAGGCUGAAACUCAAAGGAAUUGACGGGGGCCCGCACAAGCGGUGGAGCAUGUGGUUUAAUUCGAAGCAACGCGAAGAACCUUACCAGGUCUUGACAUCCUCUGCCAACCCUAGAGAUAGGGCGUUCCCCUUCGGGGGACAGAGUGACAGGUGGUGCAUGGUUGUCGUCAGCUCGUGUCGUGAGAUGUUGGGUUAAGUCCCGCAACGAGCGCAACCCUUGAUCUUAGUUGCCAGCAUUCAGUUGGGCACUCUAAGGUGACUGCCGGUGACAAACCGGAGGAAGGUGGGGAUGACGUCAAAUCAUCAUGCCCCUUAUGACCUGGGCUACACACGUGCUACAAUGGAUGGUACAAAGAGCUGCGAACCCGGCGAGGGUAAGCGAAUCUCAUAAAGCCAUUCUCAGUUCGGAUUGUAGG